rnacentral:rRNA from 1 species
AUUGAACGCUGGCGGCAGGCCUAACACAUGCAAGUCGAACGAGUGGCGGACGGGUGAGUAAUGUCUGGGAAACUGCCCGAUGGAGGGGGCUAACUACUGGAAAUGGUAGCUAAUACCGCAUACCAUCGGAUGUGCCCAGAUGGGAUGAGCUAGUAGGUGGGGUAACGGCUUACCUAGGCGACGAUCCCUCGCUGGUCUGAGAGGAUGACCAGCCACACUGGAACUGAGCCACGGUCCAGACUCCUACGUGAGGCAGCAGUGGGGAAUAUUGCACGAUUGGCGCAAGCCUGAUGCAGCCAUGCCGCGUGUAUGAAGAAGGCCUUCGGGUUGUAAAGUACUUUCAGCGAGGAGGCGUUACUCGCAGAAGAAGCACCGGCUAACUCCGUGCCAGCCGCCGCGGUAAUAC